rnacentral:rRNA from 1 species
GACGAACGCUGGCGGCGUGCUUAACACAUGCAAGUCGAACGAUGAAGCCCAGCUUGCUGGGUGGAAGAGUGGCGAACGGGUGAGUAACACGUGAGUAACCUGCCCUGAACUCUGGGAUAAGCACUGGAAACGGUGUCUAAUACUGGAUACGACCUAUCACCGCAUGGUGUGUGGGUGGAAAGAUUUAUCGGUUCUGGAUGGACUCGCGGCCUAUCAGCUAGAUGGUGAGGUAAUGGCUCACCAUGGCGACGACGGGUAGCCGGCCUGAGAGGGUGACCGGCCACACUGGGACUGAGACACGGGCCAGACUCCUACGGGAGGGAGCAGGGGGGGAUAUUGCACCAUGGGCGGAAGCCUGAAGCAGGCACGCCGCGUGGGGGAUGACGGCCUUCGGGUUUUAAACCUCUUUUUGUAGGGAAGGAGCGAAAGUUGCGGUACCUGCAGAAAAAGCCCCGGCUAACUACGUG